rnacentral:rRNA from 1 species
UUUUUUUCCCGGGGAGAAAUCUAGCAUAUCAAUAAGCGGAGGAAAAGAAACUAACAAGGAUUCCCCUAGUAACUGCGAGUGAAGCGGGAAAAGCUCAAAUUUUAAAUCUGGCGGUCCUUUGCGGCCGUCCGAGUUGUAAUCUAGAGAAGUGCUUACCCGCGCUGGACCGUGUACAAGUCUCCUGGAAUGGAGCGUCAUAGAGGGUGAGAAUCCCGUCUUCGACACGGACUGCCAGGGCUUAUGUGGUGCGCUCUCGAAGAGUCGAGUUGUUUGGGAAUGCAGCUCUAAAUGGGUGGUAAAUUCCAUCUAAAGCUAAAUACAGGCGAGAGACCGAUAGCGAACAAGUACCGUGAGGGAAAGAUGAAAAGAACUUUGGAAAGAGAGUUAAACAGUACGUGAAAUUGCUGAAAGGGAAACGUUUGAAGUCAGUCGCGUUGGCUGGGGAUCAACCUUGCUCUUGCAGGGCGCACUCUCUGGUUUCGACGGGUCAGCAUCAGUUUUGGUCGCUGGAGAAAGGCUAGGGGAAUGUGGCAUCGCUUCGGUGAUGUGUUAUAGCCCUUGGUUGUAUGCAGCGGUUGGGACUGAGGAACUCAGCGCGCGCCUCUUCACGGGGGUGCCGGGUCUUUCGAGACCACGCUUACGCGCUUAGGAUGCUGGCAUAAUGGCUUUAAGCGACCCGUCUUGAAACACGGACCAAGGAGUCUAACAUGCUUGCGAGUGUUUGGGUGGAAAACCCGAGCGCGUAAUGAAAGUGAAAGUUGGGAACCCUGUCGUGGGGUGCACCGACGCCCGGACCAGACCUUCUUGUGACGGCUCCGCGGUAGAGCAGGCAUGUUGGGACCCGAAAGAUGGUGAACUAUGCCUGAAUAGGGUGAAGCCAGAGGAAACUCUGGUGGAGGCUCGUAGCGAUUCUGACGUGCAAAUCGAUCGUCAAAUUUGGGUAUAGGGGCGAAAGACUAAUCGAACCCUUU